CAGCCACGUUGGGGGUGCCUCGCCGGUAUCGGUGUGGCUGAGAGAGUCCCUUCGAACCUGUACGGGUCAUGCCGUCGUAGGGAAGCGGAGCACGGUCGCU
rnacentral:ncRNA from 2 species